UACGUAGGGGGCAAGCGUUAUCCGGAUUUACUGGGUGUAAAGGGAGCGUAGACGGCUAUGCAAGUCUGGUGUGAAAACCCGGGGCUCAACCCCGGGACUGCAUUGGAAACUGUGUGGCUUGAGUGUCGGAGAGGUAAGUGGAAUUCCUAGUGUAGCGGUGAAAUGCGUAGAUAUUAGGAGGAACACCAGUGGCGAAGGCGGCUUACUGGACGAUGACUGACGUUGAGGCUCGAAAGCGUGGGGAGCAAACAGGAUUAGAUACCCUGGUAGUCCACGCCGUAAACGAUGUAUACUAGGUGUCGGGUGGCAAAGCCAUCCGGUGCCGCAGCAAACGCAAUAAGUAUACCACCUGGGGAGUACGUUCGCAAGAAUGAA
rnacentral:rRNA from 1 species